rnacentral:lncRNA from 1 species
AAACAUAUCAACUCUUUUGAACAUAAUAAUCAACUUUUAUAAUAAAAGGUUAAGGUGUAAAACACCGACAAAAGAACUCUUCCAAUGAGUCAAAAGUAAUUAGUACAUAAUCCAAAACAACUAUAUUACCAAUAUCCAAAACAAACUACAUUAACAAUAAAAACAUAAAACAUAGUAAUCAUAAAAUAAAAAAAAAUCUUCACUUUAUAGACAUCCUCUACUCCUCAUC